GCUAAACCAGCCUUGGGUCCUUGCCUUUCUGCCCUUGGUGUCCGUGCUCAUUGACACUGAGCUGUGAGUUCCCCGGUUCUCUGUCCCACUGAUUUUCUCCAUUGUUCUCCAAUCUGGUGCUUAUAGGAAUUCACCCAUGUCCCUGAGGCGAAACCACGUGCCAGUGGCUGACGCCUCUGACCCCAAUGACUAAGACAAAGCCUCCAAGGUCCAGGAAGCGAUGGGUAACUUUCAUGCAGACCAAGGACAGCGCUUGCUGUGACCCCCCCAGCCUCUGCAUGUCCCCUGCUGCUACCCUCCCAGGGCACCUCCCCUGCUCGUGCCCACACACCUGGACCCCAUCCCUUAGCUCUGUCUUGCCUUUCUCAGUGCUUCCAAACGCUGGAGGAGAGAGGAGCCUAUUUCCAUUCUGACCACUUUAUAAGAACCAGAGGGCUCUUAGAGAGGUUUUCUGGGAUUUGGAAUUGACCCUUGGUCUUGACACACUCUGGCGGAUAGGCCCCUCCUCCAGCCUAAGCCAGUCCUCUUUCUCUUACUGCUGGAGAGCAAAGCAAGCAGCCAAAGCGGAUUCCUGUGGGGACUGUUCUGUUCCUCCUCUGCUCCAGGGGCUGGCUUCAGAGACGGUCCCUUUGUCAUGCAUAUUGCACCGGCCACGCCCACGCCCAUGUGGCCACAGCCCCCCCUCUGCUGCGCCACGCCCCACCCCCACCCAGCAGCGCGUGGGCUGCCCCGGGGCCACCGAAUGCCUGGGAUGCCGGCUGCAGUGACAGAGCGGCCCCGAUCCCUCACGGGAGUUUUGACCGAGGCAGCAUUUGGGAUCGCUUAUGAGCUGAAAUCUUUACAUUUUGUCCCCAGUUUUAGGCUGAAGUAAAGAAUGCCUGCCUUUUCCAACCACCAACCCUUGAACUUCUAAGACAAAGGGACCACACCCUUGGAUUAUGAUCUAACUAGGCUAUGAAUUUGAGUUCAGUAUAGUCCUAUAGUUACACAAGGUGUUACUUCUGGGAGAAACUGCCUGAAAGAAUGCUGUGUGGUACCCUGGAUUGGAUCCUGGAACAGAAGAAGGACAUGAGUAGAAAAACUAGAAAACCCAAGAAAGAUCUUUAACAUUUGCCAAUGUUAAUUUCUUAGUUUUAACAGCUGUACCAUGGUUGUGUAAAACGUUAACAUUUAAAAGAAACUGGA